CGCGGCGCUGCCAAUCGCACACAAAGGCCGCCCAGCAGAUCAUGUGGUGCGGCGGGAGGAAGUGCGGCUUGUUUUCCCGGCUAGGCUCUGGAGCGGCGGGCGCGGCGCGAUGCGCGGGUACCCGGGAGCGAACGGCUGCGAGCCCUGAUGAAGCUCGAGCAGCCCCAGCCUGAUGGAGGCGCCUCCGUGGGAGCCGGUGCGCAAUGACUCCCUGCCUCCCACGCUGAGCCCCGCGGUGCCGCCCUACGUGAAGCUCGGCCUCACCGCGGUCUACACCGUCUUCUACGCGCUCCUCUUCGUGUUCAUCUAUGCGCAGCUCUGGCUGGUGCUGCGCUACCGUCACAAGCGGCUCAGCUACCAGAGCGUCUUCCUCUUCCUUUGCCUCUUCUGGGCCUCGCUGCGUACCGUGCUCUUCUCCUUUUACUUCCGAGACUUCGUGGCAGCCAACUCGUUCAGCCCCUUCGUCUUCUGGCUGCUCUACUGCUUCCCCGUGUGUCUACAGUUCUUCACCCUCACGCUCAUGAACUUGUACUUCACGCAGGUGAUUUUCAAGGCCAAGUCAAAAUAUUCUCCAGAGCUACUCAAAUACCGGUUACCCCUCUACCUGGCCUCACUUUUCAUCAGCCUCGUUUUCCUGUUGGUGAAUCUGACCUGUGCUGUGCUGGUGAAGACGGGAGACUGGGACAGGAAGGUUAUCGUCUCUGUGAGAGUGGCCAUCAAUGACACACUCUUUGUGCUGUGUGCUAUCUCUCUCUCCAUCUGCCUCUACAAAAUCUCCAAGAUGUCCCUGGCCAACAUCUACUUGGAGUCAAAGGGCUCAUCAGUGUGUCAGGUAACUGCCAUUGGUGUCACCGUCAUCUUGCUCUACACCUCUCGGGCCUGCUACAACCUGUUCAUCUUGUCAUUUUCUCAGAUCAAGAACGUCCAUUCCUUUGAUUAUGACUGGUACAAUGUAUCCGACCAGGCAGAUCUGAAGAGCCAGCUGGGUGACGCCGGCUACGUAGUGUUUGGCGUGGUGCUUUUCGUGUGGGAGCUCCUACCCACCACCUUGGUGGUUUAUUUCUUCCGAGUCAGAAAUCCCACGAAGGAUCUUACCAAUCCUGGGAUGGUCCCCAGCCAUGGAUUCAGUCCCAGAUCUUACUUCUUUGACAACCCCCGAAGAUAUGACAGUGAUGAUGACCUUGCCUGGAACAUUGCCCCUCAGGGACUUCAGGGAAGGACCUCUCCGAGCCUACCCAGAGAGAGCCAGGGCAUGUGCUGCUCCACUCACUCACUGGAACGUGAUCUGGGACAUCCAGGCAGACAUCUUGGAUCCUCUUCUAAAGCCAGAGAAUAUAUGAACAAUUAUCACUAGAGUGAAUAUAUUAUAAGAACCAAAAAUUGAAAUUUGUCAUUCUUAACCAAUUAUUUCCUAAGAUACUGACAAGUGUCAUCUCGUUCAUUGUUUGCUACAGUUCUGUGAGUUUUGCUCCAGACUACUAUGAUUGGGGACAACAAAAUAACAGCUUCCUGGCACAAGCAGGAACUUUGCAUCAAGACUCCACUUUGGAUCCAGACAAAGCAAGCCAAGGGUAGCAGCAGCUGACACAGCCCUAUGGAAGAGUUCUCUGUUGAAAGCCUUCAGCCAGACAGACCGGAUGACAGCUGAGUUGCUAAGGCAGUUUUCCUUAGGAAACAGAACUCUAGUUUUUGCUAUAGCUUUCUCAUGGCUCCACAGGGCUAAGCAAUAAUUUAGAGCAAUAAACUCUUUAGUACUAGCAGAGAAUCUGGCUAUUUCAGUGGGUAUAAUUUAAACUUAUAAAAGAGGUUCUGUACUUUUAUAAAGAUGUAUUUUAUAUAACUUAAAUACUAAUGCUAAAGUAUACUAGGUUUUUCCUUGAUUGUUAAUUGCAACGUAUGUUGUAGUUUGCACAGACUUUCAUGCAUAAUUCACUUUAAAACGUAUAGAAUACGUGGUCUAAUAGUUUAAAGCUUUGGGGAAAGUUUCCACAAAUCUUACCUCUGAAGGUCCCUCUUGUGAGUGCCACGUGGUGGGCUCCUUUCACCGCCACUCAAGCAUUCCAAGUUCAGGAGAAGCAGAGUACCAUGGUCUGUACGUAACAGGCUCAACAGCAGCAGCAGCAGCAGCAGCAGCAGCAGCAAUUUCUCGUAAACUCUGUCCUAAGCCUGGUCCUUCUUCAUCUGAAAGCACUACUACAAGCACUCCAGUAACAAGUGGAUACUGUUAAGAUGUAGUUGCUGACACUAUUAAACCUCCUCUGCUGUGUGUGUAGCCAUUUUGUAGAGUUUUCUUCAGCCCGGUGUAACUGAAUACUCACUACCUCAGUACCUCAGUAGGAUGCAAGGACUGUGCCUUCUUUGACUCAGCCAGUGCUUGCUAUAGUCAGGCUACAAGCCAAGAGGUCCCCACAGAGUAUUAACAAUAAAUACUUCUGGCCUUCAAGCUCUAAAGGAUUGCAGACUCCUGACAGCUUUUCUGUAAGACAUGCCUGUCAUUUGUAUGAGGCUGACACGGGGCUCACUGCCUGUUAUUUUUAGAUAGUGUUCUAUUAAAAGCUAUGUGUAUGAGAAAGUAGGCUCUGCCUACGUGGCGGCAGCAUCCCCAUAUCAGCCAGAGAGUGUUCCAGACAGUGGUCCUCUUGUGCCAUCUCCGUGCUGUCCUGGGAAAACGCUGGAACAACGUGGCCCUCCUGGAGGCCGGAUGCUCUGGCUUCUUCUGGUCCUAUAGGUCACAGAGCCACGCCCACUUUCUCCCAUUUUGUUAUAUUUAAGAUUGGGAGCCCAGUUUCCAGUGGGUUGUAAUGGGGUCUUCGUUGUACAGAGGACGACGUGGAGGAACUUGCGCAGCCCCGCCCCACACCCUGCCUUUGGGUUUGAGUAAACAUCUGGGUUGCAAGCCAUUUAAAAUUGCUUCUUUGCCAGGGUGAAUUCUGGCAAAGCCUACACAAAUCGCCUGUACGAUAGCACUGUAUAAAAGUUUAUCUGUCACCAUACCUGCAAUGAUUUGGCUGUUGCAGCCAGUGCCCACAGCUCCUGUGUCCUUGUCUCUAGCAGGGCGGUACCUGUCAGCAGCCAAGGGCAAGGCUUGCUGGAAAGCACAGCCUCAUUAAGGCUGUUCUGUUUGCACCCAUUUUGUAGCACAUGCACACUUUACAGUUGGUGAAUGCUGGGCGUCUGUUUUCUUACAGUAACAAGCAAGCUAUCAUCCAUUUUUACAAUAAAGUUGUCAGCAUUCAUGUCAGCAAUAAAAAGACUACAGCUCUUAAAUGUUGUCAACUGGUGCUGGAAUAUACACGUGCAGUGGCUGUGUACCACAUGUCGGGAAGGAGGUCUGAACCGGCUUUGCGUCUUCUCCCUUACUUCCUCUGCUAACAAAACUGUUCCUAAUGUGUUAAACAUAGGAAAAGAAAAGUUCAUGUUCACAUCAUGAAACUAACAACCUGGUGAUAUUACAGCACAUGGGGCCAAGCAUGGUAUUUUGGUUAUAAUCCCAGCGCUAGCUUAAGUCUGAAGUUAGCCUGGGCUAUAGCAAUACUCUGAGAUAAGUAAGUUCAUGGGAAUGAGGCAUUACCACUGAAAAUGUAACUGUCUGCUGUAACGAGGACAGGACACACCUUUUUAGCUGCUGAGCCAUUUGCCUGAGCAGUUAAGAAUUCUGGCCAACCUGUGUUCAUAUCCAUCAUUGAUUGACACAUAUUCCUUAGAUAGAUAGCUAAUGUCUGGAGUGUUACAAGUAGAGUUAUGAACUAGAAGUUAUUACAGUAUAUGUCCCAGUCACAUUUUAUUGUGGAACCAACACUAGACCCCUAUGAAGAGCAAAAGAAGUAUUAGUUACUGGGCACUUCAGAAGCAAUGUGAGAAUCUCAUUUGGAGGUCUAUAUUGUCUGUUAGAAUGUUAUGCACACAUAUGCAUGUGUGCCUACCUUCACAGGGAAGAUCAUAUCCAGGCCUGCUAAGCACUGGAUAUGCCUUGCCACUGCGCUACACACAUUCUAGCCUUUGCUGUUUGUUCUACUACAAGGUUACAAAUAAUUUAUCAAAAUUUACAAGUUUAGCCAAUUAUUGUAGAAAAAGAAUCCUUCUUUCACUCUUAUCAGACAGCAAUUUAAACAACAGACUGAUGCAGAAACACAUCCGUGUGCAGUUCUACUUUAUCCAGUAUGCAUGAGCUAUUCACAGCUUCUGAUGGAUCCAGAUGGUAGAGCUAUUAGGAAAAGGAGCAGGCUCAAAUCAGAGUUCUCAUCAAAAACUAAAUAAAUAGGACAAUUAAAGUGAGAAAACUUUUUAAAUGGAACUGUGAAGACAGACAGUGGAAUUUAGUCUACUGGGUGCCUCUGUUGGACUGGGAAGUUGUCAUGAGUUUGGAUCUGAGACCACACUAAGAGAAUCGCACAUAAACUUCCUCUCCGCUCCUGGCAGGACACAUGAAAAACCCUCUCCCAAUGGAACAAAUACCUGAUCCCUAUGUCCCAAACGAUUACACUUCUUAUGCUUUUGCUUCAUUCUUGCCCUGGGUAGGUUCUGUGUUCAAUAUGGACUCAUUGAACCCAAAUGCCUAUAGGAUCCACACCUACCUCCCCAAACCCUCAUCUCCCUCCAUGUUUGGAUGCAGAUAGCUUACUAGUGUCUUCUUUUCCCCUAAGCCUUACCUGGUUCACCCCUCAAAUUCUGAUUUUCUAUAACCUGAGUGGAGCAUAUGUUCUGAACUUUAGCCUCCUCAGAACUGGAGUUCAGAGCCUCACUUUCUUCAGCUCAUAUGAGCCUCAAAAUUCUUCCCUCUCAACUCUUGUUUACGUAACUGUUACCCAUGACUCUGACACCCACUAGUCACUCGCCGAUCAUGGUCUUCCUUCAAGACCCUAACUGAAGCAUAAGAGUGCAUGCAUUCAGAUAAACAGGGUCUUCUCAGGCCUGCUGUGCGAGUCUCUAACAGAUACCCAACUCUUUGGACAAAUAAAUGGAGGGGACUCUUUUUUUUUUUUUUUUUUUUUUUUUUUUUUUUUGUGGUUUUUCGAGACAGGGUUUCUCUGUGUAGCCCUGGCUGUCCUGGAACUCAUUUGGUAGACCAGGCUGGCCUCAAACUCAGAAAUCUGCCUGCUUCUGUCUGCCUCCCAAGUGCUGGGAUUAAAGGCGUGCACCACCAUGCCCGGCCAGCUCGUCUUACAAGAUGAGCUCUGACUCCAUGGUGGUGUGCUGGACCUCUAUGAACGUCCCCACUUAGUAAGAACUCAGAACUACCCAAGGUAGCUGAAAAGAAAAUCUAAGAUCUUUACAUUCUAACAGUUAAGUUCAAGAGGUUAAAAGUACCUUGAAUCUAAGAUUGUAGUUGUAGGUAGAAUGCUUGCCCAUGUGUCCAGUUCCCCGCACUGCAUAAAAUGGGCUUGGCAGUUUAUACCUGUGGUCCCAGCACUUGGAAGUGGGGAGACAGAGAAGAAUCAGAAGUUCAAGACCACCCUUGGCUAUAUAGGGACUUUGAGGAUAGUCUGAGACACUAACGACCCUGUAAGUAAAGAAAGGGAGGGGAGGAGGGACCCACAACAGAAAACAGUUCUGCAUUGCUAGGAGGAGUUUUUCCAAAGCUCACGUGGAAUCAUGAAAAUCUAUAGUAUCUAGGAAAAUUAAAAGGGUGCAGGGGAAGGAGAGCGCGUAGUCAGUUUGAACACAUUAAUAAUAAAUUCCAAAUCACCAAUAACGUGUUGGUGACACAUUAAGGAAAGAAAGCAUUUCCCCUUGGUGUCAUUUAACCAAGAGUAAGCUCAGAUUUUAUUUUCUAUUUCAUGUUCCCUGUGUCUUCUGUCUUCAUCCUCUGUGUGCUACACGAGUCUAAAUCUGUGCCUGCCUGAAGACUGUCUUGUAAAUCUAUCCCCACUGUGUGUUCAUCUGUCACAAAGGGCUUUGUUCUCUAUUGAGCAGCCCAGAAAGCAUAACAUGGAGAAGGAAUGAGGGAUAACAGAAAUCUUUAACAGCGUUUUACAAGGGAUUAUUAAAUCGGACUCCAAUUAACCACAACCGGCCCAGAAAACAGUAUCUCAAACACUAUUGUUUAUCGAGCAAUAUUUAAAUGUUGUGUUCAACAUUCAUGGUGGAUAUUCGCUGUAGGAGAUUGCUUUCAACUUCUGUGUUUGCUGUUUUCAGCAAAUGACACCCAUUCGUUACUGUUGGUCAGAGACACGGAGAGCACAGGACUUAAGAUUACAGCUAGGCACAGGGAAACCCAAGGGUAAGUAAGGGUGACUGUUAACACCGGUUUCUUAAAAGCUGAGCACACAGUAGGAUAGCAUCUUAAGUCAAAAGUGACUUCAGGGUCUACUAACCUUGCCUGUAAGAUCCAUCAAAAGUUCCACUCCAGUCUCUUGGAGAGGACCAAGGGCUAAUAUUCAAUAUUAUUGAAUUAAAACAAUGUCUACUGGUACAUAUAGGAAAAUGGACUGAUGAAAUGGAAACAUAACCUAGAUAAGGAGCUAGGUCCAUAGAGGUGUCAGAGAUCUGUCCUAUCUACAUGAUUCCUCAAACGAGUCAUGGAACAAAUGGCUAGAGUUCCCGGACCAAACAGGUUACACCUAUGUAAAGUUAGGUUGGUUUCUUUAACCUGUAUUUUGUACUAGGAUCCAAAGGAUCAAACAACUGGUAUAGGAAAUGAGACCAUACCACAGCAUGGUAAAACCAUUAAAACAAAGCCACAUAACAAAUUGGAAGACUAUGAAGCUCAUCACGCUUGAAGAACACCUCUAAAAGGUGGGGUCUAGUGCACAAAGAACACCAAGCAAAUUAAGGGUUAGUUGUUAAUUUUAUACAUUUAGUUUUUAAAAUGAACAUUUUAAAUUUCCAUCCUAUCAGAAUGUCCAAAUCUAGCAUUUGAACACUGUCUCUGGUGGUGAGGCCAUGGAUGAGCAAGCACACAUGUACAUGAGCUGAGCUAGUCCCUCCCUGUGGAGGGCAGAGUCCAAGUCAGUACCUCUCAAACCUACAAGUGUGUGUGGUCUUUCACCUUUGAACACUUAGAAAUGUACAUAUACAAAUGUGACAUGAUAUGUGGACAAGGUCUAGAAACAACUCAAAUGCUCAAGAAUGGUACCACUCAACUAAAUACUGGCAUAGCCAUAGUAAGGAUACCAAGCAACCAAUAAAGUGAAAAGGCUAUCUCUCUGGUGGUACAUGGCUACUGCAAUAAUUAGGUGAUAAAAAGCAGAUGGUGUGUCUGUGGUAUUACUCCAAGUAAAAUAAGAGCAAAUAGAGAAAUAAGGCUUUAUAUGUAUAUAUGUUGGCAUUUUUUUUUAAAAAGGAGAGUGUGGAUGGAAAUACAAAAAGCCAGGGACAGAGGGCAUGUGUGUGCACUAUGGGAAACUGGGAAGACAUUGUGGUAUUAGUGUAUAUUGUGUUUUUUAACCAUGUGAAUGUACCACCUAUUUGGAAAGUUAAAUAAAACAAGCAUUUUUU